GAUGAACGCUGGCGGCGUGCCUAAUACAUGCAAGUCGGACGGAGCGCUUCGGCGCUCUAGUGGCGAACGGGUGAGUAGCACAUGGGCAACCUGCCUUUCAGAGGGGGACAACAGCUGGAAACGGCUGCUAAUACCGCAUAAUAUAUACAGGUCGCAUGAUUUGUAUAUCAAAGAUUUAUCGCUGAAAGAUGGACUCGCGUCUGAUUAGCUAGUUGGCGGGGUAACGGCCCACCAAGGCGACGAUCAGUAGCCGGACUGAGAGGUUGAACGGCCACAUUGGGACUGAGAUACGGCCCAG
rnacentral:rRNA from 1 species